rnacentral:rRNA from 1 species
AGCGAACGUUAGCGGCGGGCCUAACGCAUGCAAGUCGAGCGAGAAAGUGGCUUCGGCCAUCAGUAAAGCGGCGGACGGGUGAGUAACACGUAGGUAAUCUUCCCUUGAGCGGGGGACAACGAGCCGAAAGGCUCGCUAAUACCGCAUACGUUUCUCGGGACUCUGGUCCUGGGAAGGAAAGCUAGGCAGCAAUGUCCCGCACUCGAGGAGGAGCCUGCGUCGCAUCAGCUAGUUGGUGGGGUAACGGCCUACCAAGGCGAAGACGCGUAGCUGGUCUGAGAGGAUGAUCAGCCACACUGGGACUGAGACACGGCCCAGACUCCUACGGGAGGCAGCAGUGGGGAAUAUUGGACAAUGGGCGCAAGCCUGAUCCAGCCACGCCGCGUGAGUGAUGAAGGCCUUCGGGUCGUAAAGCUCUGUGGGGAGGGACGAACCGCCGGAUGUGCAUAGCAUCCGGCAUGACGGUACCUCCUUAGCAAGCACCGGCUAACUUCGUGCCAGCAGCCGCCGUAAUAC